CGCGUAGGCGGAUAUUACAGUCAGGCGUGAAAUUCCUGGGCUCAACCUGGGGGCUGCGUUUGAUACGUGAUGUCUGGAGUUCGGAAGAGGGUCGUGGAAUUCCCAGUGUAGAGGUGAAAUUCGUAGAUAUUGGGAAGAACACCGGUGGCGAAGGCGGCGACCUGGUCCGAUACUGACGCUGAGGCGCGAAAGCGUGGGGAGCAAACAGGAUUAGAUACCCUGGUAGUCCACGCUGUAAACGAUGUGCGCUGGAUGUUGGGUGACAUAGUCACUCAGUGUCGUAGCUAACGCGAUAAGCGCACCGCCUGGGGAGUACGGCCGCAAGGUUGAA
rnacentral:rRNA from 1 species